rnacentral:rRNA from 1 species
UGGGGAAUAUUGGACAAUGGGGGCAACCCUGAUCCAGCCAUGCCGCGUGAGUGAUGAAGGCCUUCGGGUUGUAAAGCUCUUUUGGCGGGGACGAUGAUGACGGUACCCGCAGAAUAAGCCCCGGCUAACUUCGUGCCAGCAGCCGCGGUAAGACGAAGGGGGACUAGCGUUGUUCGGAAUUACUGGGCGUAAAGCGAGUGUAGGCGGUUGCCGUAGUCAGGUGUGAAAGCCUUGAGCUCAACUCAAGAAAUGCACUUGAUACUGGGUGACUAGAGGACCGGAGAGGAUAGUGGAAUUCCCAGUGUAGUGGUGAAAUACGUAGAGAUUGGGAAGAACACCAGUGGCGAAGGCGGCUAUCUGGACGGUUACUGACGCUAAGACUCGAAAGCGUGGGGAGCAAACAGGAUUAGAUACCCUGGUAGUCCACGCCGUAAACGAUGGGUGCUAGACGUUGGCGAGCUUGCUCGUCAGUGUCGCAGCUAACGCGUUAAGCACCCCGCCUGGGGAGUACGGCC